GAUGAAGAACGUAGCGAAAUGCGAUAAGUAAUGUGAAUUGCAGAAUUCAGUGAAUCAUCGAGUCUUUGAACGCACAUUGCGCCCCCUGGUAUUCCGGGGGGCGUGCCUGUCCGAGCGUCAUUGCUGCCCUCAAGCACGGCUUGUGUGUUGGGCCGUCGUCCCCCUCCUAGGGGACGGGCCCGAAAGGCAGCGGCGGCACCGCGUCCGGUCCUCGAGCGUAUGGGGCUUCGUCACCCGCUCCGUAGGCCCGGCCGGCGCUUGCCGACGACCAUCAAUCUCUUUCUCCAGGUUGACCUCGGAUCAGGUAGGGAUACCCGCUGAACUUAAGCAUAUCAAUAAGCGGAGGA
rnacentral:misc_RNA from 1 species